GCGGGGGUGCCGGAGUGGCCAAACGGGCAGGACUUAAGAUCCUGUAGCUUAGUGCUUACGAGGGUUCGAAUCCCUUCCCCCGCA
rnacentral:tRNA from 1 species